rnacentral:rRNA from 1 species
GACGAACGCUGGCGGCGUGCUUAACACAUGCAAGUCGAACGGAAAGGCCCUGCUUUUGUGGGGUGCUCGAGUGGCGAACGGGUGAGUAACACGUGAGUAACCUGCCCUUGAAUUUGGGAUAACUUCAGGAAACUGGGGCUCAUAUCGGAUAGGAGCUCCUGCUGCAUGGUGGGGGUUGGAAAGUUUCGGCGGUUGGGGAUGGACUCGCGGCUUAUCAGCUUGUUGGUGGGGUAGUGGCUUACCAAGGCUUUGACGGGUAGCCGGCCUGAGAGGGUGACCGGCCACAUUGGGACUGAGAUACGGCCCAGACUCCUACGGGAGGCAGCAGUGGGGAAUAUUGCACAAUGGGCGGAAGCCUGAUGCAGCAACGCCGCGUGCGGGAUGACGGCCUUCGGGUUGUAAACCGCUUUCGCCUGUGACGAAGCGUGAGUGACGGUAAUGGGUAAAGAAGCACCGGCUAACUACGUG